rnacentral:rRNA from 1 species
UACGGAGGGUGCAAGCGUUAAUCGGAAUUACUGGGCGUAAAGGGUGCGUAGGUGGUGAGAUAAGUUAUCUGUGAAAUUCCUGGGCUUAACCUGGGUCGGUCAGAUAAGACUGUUUUACUGGAGUAUGGGAGAGGGUAGUGGAAUUUCCGGUGUAGCAGUGAAAUGCGUAGAGAUCGGAAGGAACACCAGUGGCGAAGGCGGCUACCUGGCCUAAUACUGACACUGAGGCACGAAAGCGUGGGGAGCAAACAGG